GAUGAACGCUGGCGGCGUGCCUAAUACAUGCAAGUCGAGCGAAAAGACGAGGAGCUUGCUCCUCUGACGUUAGCGGCGGGCGGGUGAGUAACAUGUGGAUAACCCACCUAUAAGACUGGGAUAACUUCGGGGAUCCGGUACUACUACCGGAUACCAUAUUGAACCGGAGGGUUCAAUAGUGACAGCGGGUUUUGAUGUCACUUAUAGAUGGAUCCGCGCCGUAUUAGCUAGUUGGUACGGUAACGGCUUACCAAGGCAACGAUGCGUAGGCGACCUGAGAGGGUGAUCGGCCACACUGGAACUGAGACACGGUCCAGACUCCUACGGGAGGCAGCAGUAGGGAAUCUUCCGCAAUGGGCGAAAGCCUGACGGAGCAACGCCGCGGGAGUGAUGAAGGGCUUCGGAUCGGAAAACUCUGUUAGUAGGGAAGAACAAAUGUGUAAGUAACUAUGCACGUCUUGACGGUACCUAAUCAAAAAGCAACGGCUAACUACGUG
rnacentral:rRNA from 1 species